rnacentral:rRNA from 1 species
AGCUCCGCGAGUGGUCGGGACGAUUAUUGGGCCUAAAGCGUUCGUAGCCGGCCUAACAAGUCUCUGGUUAAACUUCAAGGCUUAACCUUGAGAUUGCUGGAGAUACUGUUAGGCUAGGAGGCGGGAGAGGUUGAGGGUACUUCACGGGUAGGGGCGAAAUCCUAUAAUCCGUGAAGGACCACCAGUGGCGAAGGCGCUCAACUGGAACGCGCUCGACGGUGAGGGACGAAAGCCAGGGGAGCAAAGGGG